rnacentral:rRNA from 1 species
AGUCCUACGGGAGGCAGCAGUGGGGGAUAUUGCACAAUGGGGGGAACCCUGAUGCAGCGACGCCGCGUGGGUGAAGAAGUAUUUCGGUAUGUAAAGCCCUAUCGGCAGGGAAGAAAUUGGACGGUACCUGACUAAGAAGCCCCGGCUAACUACGUGCCAGCAGCCGCGGUAAUACGUAUGGGGCAAGCGUUAUCCGGAUUUUCUGGGUGUAAAGGGAGCGUAGACGGCGACGCAAGACUGGAGUGAAA